GUCUUUGCGGAAGGGAAAUUUAAGCAGUUGAUAAAUAACCCACAGCAGAAAACACAAAAAGAUCGUACAGAGAGAUUUGGCACGGUGAGAAACACAUUUUGCUUGAGAGAUUUUUGUUUUUGUCAGUGA